rnacentral:rRNA from 1 species
UACGUAGGGUGCAAGCGUUAAUCGGAAUUACUGGGCGUAAAGCGUGCGCAGGCGGUUCUAUAAGACAGAUGUGAAAUCCCCGGGCUCAACCUGGGAACUGCAUUUGUGACUGUAGAGCUGGAGUACGGUAGAGGGGGAUGGAAUUCCGCGUGUAGCAGUGAAAUGCGUAGAGAUGCGGAGGAACACCGAUGGCGAAGGCAGCCCCCUGGGCUAACACUGACGCUCAGGCACGAAAGCGUGGGGAGCAAACAGG